AGUUCAGUCGGUCAGUCAUGUCCGACUGAACUGAUGAGCCCUGCUCCGUGCCCACCACCCCCAGCGACGCCUCCAUUAUGGCCGCCCCACCGCAGCUGAGGGCUCUGCUCUUUGCGGUCAACGCACUAUUGCGCAAGCGCCGCUACCACGCAGCACUGGCCAUGCUUAAGGGCUUCCGGAACGGGGCAGUCUAUGGAGCCAAAAUCCGGGCCCCUCACGCUCUGGUCAUGACCUUUCUUUUCCGGAGUGGCAGCCUCCGGGAGAAGCUGCGCGCCAUCCUGCAGGCCACAUACACCCACUCCUGGAACCUGGCGAGGUUUGUGUUCUUCUACAAGGGACUCUGCACCCUGCAGUCCCACAUCCAGGGUGAGACCUACCAGGCACACUCAUUCGUGUCUGCCUUCAUCGGGGGCUUGCUGGUGUUUGGAAACAACAAUAACAUCAACAGCCAGAUCAACAUGUACCUGCUAUCCCGCAUCCUGUUUGCCCUGUGCCGCCUGGGUGUGGAGAAGGGCUUCAUCCCUGAACCCAGGUCGGACCCAUUUCCAUGGUUCACGGGGCUGGUGUGGGGGCUGGUACUGUGGCUCUUCGAGUACCACCGGCCAACCCUGCACCCCUCACUGCAGUCGUCCAUGACCUACCUGUACGAGGACAGCAACGUGUGGCACGACCUCUCGGACUUCCUUAUCUACAACAAGAGCCAGCCCUCCAAGUAACAGGGCCCUCAGGUGCUCAGGAAGGCUCCUGCACCCCAGUCGGGUGACGGAGGUGUCCAGCUGCGGUUUAAGAUUAUGGCUCCACCUGCUAACCAUCCCAGAGGACCCUACCUCUUCAAGAUCUGGGGUCUCAGACUCUAACUUUUAUUAGCCCAGGGCUCCAUUUGGCGAAAUGGAAGCACUGAUUAUCAGUUCUCAUUAGGUACUCUUGAAUAGCAGAACGAGCCACCAAAUCAGGCUGAGGAGCCUUGGGCACGGUGACAGCUGCUGACUCUUGAGAGACCAGGGAAGGUCACACCCCACCCUGGGCCUCAGGGAUCAUCGAGCCCAGACGAGGGCACUGAAGUCUCUUUCUGGUGGGUGAGAAAACAGAGCCCUUCUGCUUUGAGGACUCCCCAGCCCCUCACUGUAGCCCUGGUCAGGGCAGGCAUGGCCACUGUGUCAGGUUUUCUACCCUCCGCUUGGAAAAGCAUAAUCCCACUGCGGAGGCUGGAGUGAUACAGGGAAAGGAAGAGGCACUGGGUGAGCCUUGGAGAGGAGAGGGGGUCCCCAGAGCUUGAGCUCAUGGAAUAAUGGGGGUACAAGGGAAGGGAGGCUCACUUAUGGACUGGCGGCCUGUCCACUUCCACUGACCUUGGACCCUCUGGCUGGACAUUUGGACUGGCUGAUGACCGAAGACUUAGCCAAGGCCACAUAGUCAGGCAACUGCUGGCUGGCACUAAGCCCCAUGAACACCCACUUCCCUUCCCUUCCACAUCCACGUCUUCCACAAAGAGGACCGUGCUGGUGCUCUAGUAGUUACUAAGAGUAGUCAACAUUUAUUGGAUGCUUACUCAGUGCCGGGCACAGGCCUUAGGGAUUGCAAACUGAGUGGCAGGGCAAGUAAGGUCAUCACAUGAGGCAAGCCAGGCAGGGACACUGGUUGCCUGGAGGGCCAAGGCUCUGGCUAAAUGGGGGACAGCACUUGCUCAGUUCCCUGAUGGCCUACCUGGCAUUGCCAAAUAUUACUUUUUUUUUUAAGCCGAACAUUUAGGCGUUCCCUUGUAAUCGAAUGGUUAGGAUUCCAGGUGUCAGGGAAUUAAGAUCCUGCAAACCAUGCAACAUGGCCAAAAUUUUUUAAAAAUCCAAAUAUUUAAGUUUUUCUAUAGCAUGUCCCAAUUUAAAAUUUGUUUUAAAAACAAAUUCAUAAUUCAGGGGAAGAAUACCCUGAGCAAAUUAAAUCCGGCCUGCGGGCCAGUUUGCAAACUCUGCUUGUCUUGUUUUCUCACUGAACCCUGACACCCAUUCUGUUGAGGAACCCUUGCCCCUUGUUCUACGAAGGAGGCAAUCAGAGCUCCUCAGGGGGGUAAAUCACUUACCCAUCUGGCCAAGCCACACAGUGGGGGUCUGCUCGACUCCCAGGGCUUACUCCUAUGUGAGACAGCCUCCCGAAUGGGUGAGAGGCCUGUGUUCAGACACAGCCAGGACUGGCACCGUGACAGAACGUCUCCAGAGACAGAAAACCGUCAGUCAAACCAUUCAGCGUAGUGACAAGGGAUCAUUCAAGAUGAAUGUAAUGUUGCAGACAUAAAACUCCCCACCUCCUUCUGCCAGAACUCAACAAUGGAUGUCUCUGUGCCUCUUAAUAAAAUGAAGUCCCCACAGGAUCAUUUCUCCCAAUUAUGUAUUCCUUAUAAUAAUGGGAUGUUCAUGUUUGGAGAUUUUUUUUUAAGCUAUGA